AGACUGACUAUAUCAGAUUCUUCUGAUCGAGUUGUUCGUGCGCGAGUUCUGCCAGUUGAGCCAACUGUCUUGUGUACUUGUUCUGAAGCAUCACGUGGGUGAUGAGAUCAAUAGACGCAACGGUAGCCAGGGGAGUACGAUGGUGAUGUGUUUGAACUACUUCAAAGGCAUUAUCCAGGUUCUAGAUUGGUAGGUCCGCUGCAAGGCAACGGCGGCGCUCUGCCCUUGCGGCGUUUCUUGCUCCUUAUCAAGUUCUUUGAGCUUCAGUCUCUUCCCGACAACGUUGGC
rnacentral:lncRNA from 1 species